rnacentral:tRNA from 1 species
GAUCUCGUAGCUCAGCAGGUAGAGCACCUCCCUUUUAAGGAGGGGGUCCUGGGUUCGAGUCCCAGCGGGAUCA